CUGUGAUACGAAUGGUUGAAGACACGUUUGUAACAUUUUUUUUGCCGGAAAAUAUACGGUGGAAGCUAGCUAAAUUAGCCUCUCGGAGGCUAAUUGUUCCUGUACACUGUACCUGUGCUUAAUACGUUUAAUUAGCCGUGAUAAAGUCACAUAAUGUUUAUAGUCAUGCUUGUUGUUGCCACUUUGUAAUAUUGGAGGGUUGCUAAAAACAUCAGUGCUCCUAGGCUGUGAUGAUCUUUAAAUUUUGUUUAUGAACUUUGUCUGAAUACACUGAUUGCAGCUAUAGGUCAUUUACUUGAAUUAAAAAUGAACUUGCGUCAGUACAGGCAAAUUUCUUUCCUCCUAUUUAUUGCUGUUGCAAGCCAGAUGAAGAGAAGUAAAGAGCUGAGAACCUGAUCUUUGAACAGACAGACCAUAGGUCAGGAGCAGCCUGGGAUGCUUACUGAGGAGCAUCCAAUGAUGAUACCAGAGAACCAGGAAGAGACUGUAAUAGUGGCUGAUCUUGUUCCUCUUUCUCAUCCUGUUGUCCCAUCCUCUCAGUCUUUUCAGAAGAAGAAAAGACCCAGAAGCAUCUCUCCAACUGCCUCUCCUCCCGCUCCGUCAUCUCUCCUUCCCCCAGCCCCGCCCGUAGAUCAGCCACAUCUGCAUUCAUGUCACCUGCUGACCAUGCCGUCUCCUUAAGUCAGGGUGGCGUUGGUGGUAAUGUAGUACCCAAAAUCAAUCCCUGGGCGUAGAACUAAUGCGCGGAAAAAUCUGGGAUGAUACCUGGGAACCUGCAAGUAAAUCCUCUCAUGUUGCUGUCCACCAAGUGCCACUUCCUUCAGACAGCGAACAAGUCCUUCCAUGAUGUUACUUUUUCUUUUUUGUAUUACAAAGUAUUAAUUUAUUUUCUUUUUUUUUACUGCAGUUUGACCAUUUUACGAAGUUUUCUGUGUAAUAUUGUUUUCGGCCAUUCACUGAAAUGAAUGUUAUGGUUGUAAUAUAAUAGUUAUGUAAGCU